UGGGGAAUAUUGCACAAUGGGGGAAACCCUGAUGCAGCCAUGCCGCGUGUGUGAAGAAGGCCUUCGGGUUGUAAAGCACUUUCAGUGGUGAGGAAGGUCGUAAGAUUAAUACUCUUGCGAAUUGACGUUAACCACAGAAGAAGCACCGGCUAACUCCGUGCCAGCAGCCGCGGUAAUACGGAGGGUGCGAGCGUUAAUCGGAAUUACUGGGCGUAAAGCGUACGUAGGCGGCUUGUUAAGCAAGAUGUGAAAGCCCCGGGCUCAACCUGGGAAUGGCAUUUUGAACUGGCAGGCUCGAGUUCUGAAGAGGGUGGUAGAAUUUCCUGUGUAGCGGUGAAAUGCGUAGAUAU
rnacentral:rRNA from 1 species